rnacentral:rRNA from 1 species
GACCUCGGAUCAGGUAGGGAUACCCGCUGAACUUAAGCAUAUCAAUAAGCGGAGGAAAAGAAACCAACAGGGAUUGCCCUAGUAACGGCGAGUGAAGCGGCAACAGCUCAAAUUUGAAAUCUGGCUCUUUCAGAGUCCGAGUUGUAAUUUGCAGAGGGCGCUUUGGCUUUGGCAGCGGUCCAAGUUCCUUGGAACAGGACGUCACAGAGGGUGAGAAUCCCGUACGUGGUCGCUAGCUAUUGCCGUGUAAAGCCCCUUCGACGAGUCGAGUUGUUUGGGAAUGCAGCUCUAAAUGGGAGGUAAAUUUCUUCUAAAGCUAAAUAUUGGCCAGAGACCGAUAGCGCACAAGUAGAGUGAUCGAAAGAUGAAAAGCACUUUUGGAAAGAGAGUCAAACAGCACGUGGAAAUUGUUGAAAAGGGAAGCGCUUGCAGCCCGAACUUGCUUGCAAGUUGCUCAUCCCGGGCUUUUUGCC